rnacentral:rRNA from 1 species
ACUCAAAGGAAUUGACGGGGGCCCGCACAAGCGGUGGAGCAUGUGGUUUAAUUCGACGCAACGCGAAGAACCUUACCAGGUCUUGACAUGUUAUUGCAAGGCAAAGAGAUUUGUCCCUCCCUUCGGGGACGAUAAUACAGGUGGUGCAUGGUUGUCGUCAGCUCGUGUCGUGAGAUGUUGGGUUAAGUCCCGCAACGAGCGCAACCCUUGUUGUUAGUUGCCAGCACGAAAGGUGGGCACUCUAAUGAGACUGCCGGUGACAAACCGGAGGAAGGUGGGGAUGACGUCAAAUCAUCAUGCCCUUUAUGACCUGGGCUACACACGUGCUACAAUGGCCUGUACAAAGGGAAGCGAAGGAGCGAUCCGGAGCAAAUCCCAUAAAACAGGUCUCAGUUCGGAUUGCAGGCUGCAACUCGCCUGCAUGAAGUCGGAAUCGCUAGUAAUCGCAGAUCAGCAUGCUGCGGUGAAUACGUUCCCGGGCCUUGUACACACCGCCCGU